rnacentral:rRNA from 1 species
CCCUUAGAUGUCCUGGGCCGCACGCGCGUUACACUGAUGCAUUCAACGAGCUUAUAACCUUGGCCGAGAGGCCUGGGCAAUCUUGUUAACGUGCAUCGUGAUAGGGAUAGAUUAUUGAAAUUAUUAAUCUUGAACGAGGAAUUCCUAGUAAACGCAGAUCAUCAAUCUGCAUUGAUUACGUCCCUGCCCUUUGUACACACCGCCCGUCGCACCUACCGAUUGGGCAAUCCGGUGAAUACUUCGGACCGUUUGCAUAGGUGGUUCGCCACCUAUACGAAUGGAAAGUCGAGUGAACCUUAUUGCUUAGAGGAAGGAGAAGUCGUAACA